AUUGAACGCUGGCGGCAUGCCUUACACAUGCAAGUCGAACGGCAGCACGGGUGCUUGCACCUGGUGGCGAGUGGCGAACGGGUGAGUAAUACAUCGGAACGUACCUUAUCGUGGGGGAUAACGCAGCGAAAGCUGUGCUAAUACCGCAUACGCCCUGAGGGGGAAAGCGGGGGAUCGAAAGACCUCGCGCGAUUAGAGCGGCCGAUGCCUGAUUAGCUUGUUGGUGGGGUAAAAGCCCACCAAGGCGACGAUCAGUAGCUGGUCUGAGAGGACGAUCAGCGACAGUGGGACUGAGAAACGGCACAGACUCCUACGGGAGGCAGCAGUGGGAAAUUUUGGACAAUGGGGGAAACCCUGAUCCAGCAAUGCCGCGUGAGUGAAGAAGGCCUUCGGGUUGUAAAGCUCUUUUGUCAGGGAAGAAACACCGGCUCUAACACAGUCCGGGAAUGACGGUACCUGAAGAAUAAGCACCGGCUAACUACGUGCCAGCCGCCGCCGUAA
rnacentral:rRNA from 1 species